rnacentral:rRNA from 1 species
UACGUAGGGUGCAAGCGUUAAUCGGAAUUACUGGGCGUAAAGCGUGCGCAGGCGGUUUUGUAAGUCUGACGUGAAAUCCCCGGGCUCAACCUGGGAAUUGCGUUGGAGACUGCAAGGUUGGAGUCUGGCAGAGGGGGGUAGAAUUCCACGUGUAGCAGUGAAAUGCGUAGAGAUGUGGAGGAACACCGAUGGCGAAGGCAGCCCCCUGGGUCAAGACUGACGCUCAUGCACGAAAGCGUGGGGAGCAAACAGG